UCUAUUCGACCCUGGACAAAAGGGAUCAGCAGGAGCUAUGCACUAUUAGUGUUAGUCUUGUUAGUUACUGCGGCACUGCUUCCUUGUGCUGUUGAGAAUUGUCUCCAUUUGAGCUUUGAUUGGUUGAAAUUGUGCAAGAUUUCUCAGAGACCAUACUGCUUGCUACCUUGCUGUUUAUGGAGGUUGUAUAGUUCCAGUUUCCAAGUAAAUGUGCAACCAUGCAAUGGCCUUGCGUGCAAAUACUUCCAUGUUCUGUCCUACAAAAUUGCCAACCCUUCAAAGAGUGGUAAUGGUAUAACGUGUGUUUAGAGGAGUCCACUAGUUGGGUGGCUAAUAUCUCUAUUUUGUCUGCUAGUUGGGCAGCAAAUCAGCACCUAGUGCCUAAACGCCAAUUAGGUGGGCCUAGGAGGGAUAAAUUGGCUAGCAGGAAGGGUGUCAUCUAGUGCCUGGUGGCCCUCUAGGUGCACUAGGCGGCUGACUUUUAGAACACUACCUUUCUCACAGCAUUACUUCUCAUGUACUUAUUGCCAGUAAAUCUGUCGCACAGAAUUGACUAUGCUAAGAAAAAAAAAAGAUAGAAAUGGAAAUUUUAUGUCCUAGAUGGUCGGAUAUGUGCCAUUAGAUUUAGAGGUGCUAAAUCUUUCUCUCAAGAUAGUUAGGAAGUUGUAGAGCCUUCCCUCUGCAGCAUGUAAAACUGUUGACCCUUCUUUUAAACGUAAUGGCUCGUAGGUGUAAUGCAUAUUCUCGAAAGCUUACUCUGUCCUGCUUUGGUAAAUUUUUAUCUCUUCAGUAUGUUCCAUUGAUGCUGCAAUAUGUUAUUUUAAUUAAUUCUUAUUAGGCUUGUUGAUUGACUUUAUUUCACUCCUAUCUCGAUGUGCAUUUAUCUUUGUUCUGUUGUGCCAAUGGUGAACCAAGGGCCUUGAUAACAUGUUUCAGCAUGAAUAAUUAGUUGAUAGCAGUUGAAUACUUGGAUUGCAGCAUAUUCUGCUAAGUGCUUUUCAUGUGGCUACUUUGCUUAUGACCAAUUGGAUAUGAUCUGCUACCAGCUAUACAGUGGAUGGAUUCCUGGAAUUCUCAUGCAUCACGUUAUUCUGCUCAUUUGCUUUAUGCUGGCUCUGUAUCGGAAUGAGACAAUCAACUACCUGAUUCUCACUCUUCUGUGCGAGCUAAAUGGAGAAAGGAAUAUCCGACGAAGAGGAGAGGAGGGGCUAGCCUUCUAGCGUGUGGAUGGGUGCAGCUCACGGCUCGCCAUGACAGAAGACGGGGUGCCGCCCCGUCGCACCGGCGCGGGCGACAUGAGCACCUUCUUCCGCUGCGACGCUAGUGCUGUGGGUCGUGUCGGUGGGGUUUGAGAUCGGCGUGCGGGGCUGCCGUGAACUGGCAGCCGUGGCCGCCGGCUUCGCCUUCUUCCAGGUCGCCAACGGCCGUCCGCGCCACUCUUCGUCAACACCGCCUACCCGCUCCUCCACUCCCCCCCUCACUUCGGCCUCAGUUAUCUUUGUUCUGUUGUGCCAAUGGCAUACAGGGGCCAUGAGAACAUGUUUCAGCAUGAAGAAUUAGUUGGUAGCAGUUGGAUUGGAGCAUAUUCUGCUUUGUGCUUUUCGUGUGGCCACGUUGCUUAUGGCCAAUUGGAUAUGCUCCGCUACUGACUAUACAGUGGAUGGAUUCCUGGAAUUCUGCUGCAUCACCUUAUUCUGCUCAUUUGCUUUACGCUAGUUCUGUAUCGGCAUGUGACAAUCAACUACUUAAUUCUCACUCUUCUAUGCGAGCGCAGGGUCCGGGGAAUUUGCCUUUCUUGAUAGUGAAAUAUAAAUUUUGGCGAGGUUAUAGUCACACCAAUGUAAAUCAGAAGACAGAGGUAUGUUUCAAGUGUUAUUAGCCUCUAGACUGUUGAGUAUUUGUACCAUGGAAGCUCUGAGUACAUUGUACCAGGGAAGUACUAAAUGUCAGCAAAAAUAGGAGUACAUUCUACACUGGAAAUAAUAAAUGUCAGCAAAAAUUGAAUCAAUAUUUUUCGCAAAUACUAAAUGUCAUAAAAAAAAUGUGAGUACAUUGUACCAUGGAAACACUAAAAUGCCAGCUAAAAAAGUAGGUCUCGCCGGGAUUCGAACCCAGGUCGCCAGAUUCAAAGUCGAGUGCUAACCACUACACUACGAAACCAAUUGAUGGGUGUGAUCCACCGAUGGUUAUAUUUCUGUCACUUGGCUUACAGACGAAAUAUUGUUUCUUUACUUGAUGCUUCCUGUUUAAUUUCCUUCUGCCUUGUUGGACUAGUUCCGAUCGCUACUUUGCAGCUAAAUGGAGCAAGGAAUAUCCGAUGAAUGACUUAUUUUCUCUUCUCUUUUCAAUUCAUUUUAGCUAAAUACUUCAUUGCAUGGGUAUGUCGUUUUGUCUCAUCGAUUGCUCUAGGAUUUAGGUGUUUGAGGUAUGAUAAUUUGGAACAAGUAAUAUAGUCAGUCCUUGAGGGAUAAUUGUUUUGAUUGUCCAGCUGUGCUUUCAACCACUCGCUAGUGGCCAUUGCAGUUCCUUCUUCAUGCUCAUUUUGACUGUACGGGUCUGCAUCACAUUGCUAGAAUAGAAUAUUAGUGACGCAUUGAUGUCCCAUUUUAAGAACAAGGGUACACGCAUCUAGGGAAAUAAGUAGUUCAGUUCAUCUCCUGCGUAAGUAGUUGGGAAGGGGUACGUUCGGUUGCAGGUACUAAUCUCAAGUUAGUAACUACAGGUACUGAAUUUGCCUUUCUUGAUAAAAGGGCAGUGCAGGGUCCGGGGAAUUUGCCUUUCUUGAUAGUGAAAUAUAAAUUUUGGCGAGGUUAUAGUCACACCAAUGUAAAUCAGAAGACAGAGGUAUGUUUCAAGUGUUAUUAGCCUCUAGACUGUGAGUAUUUGUACCACAGAAGCUCUGAGUACAUUGUACCAGGGAAGUACUAAAUGUCAGCAAAAAUAGGAGUACAUUCUACACUGGAAAUAAUAAAUGUCAGCAAAAAUUGAAUCAAUAUUUUUCCCAAAUACUAAAUGUCAUAAAAAAAUGUGAGUACAUUGUACCAUGGAAACACUAAAAUGCCAGCUAAAAAAGUAGGUCUCGCCGGGAUUCGAACCCAGGUCGCCAGAUUCAAAGUCUGGAGUGCUAACCACUACACUACGAAACCAUUUGUUGAGUGUGACUCACUGAUGGUUAUAUUUCUGUCAUUUGGUUUGCAGACAAAAUAUUGUUUCUUUACUCGACGCUUCCUCUUAAAUUUCCUUCUGUUUUUUUGGAUUUGCUUCCGGUUGCCACUUGUUAGCUAAAUGGAGCAAGGAAUUUCCGAUGAAUGACUUAUUUCUCUUUUCUUUUCAAUUCAUAUUAGCCAAAGGCUCCAUUGCAUGGGUACGAUCAUGUUGUGUCAGUGAGUUGCUAUUAAGAUUUACUAGGUGUAUGCGGUACAAUAAUUUGGAAAAAGUAGUAUGGUCGAUACAUUCUAUAUGGCCUUGAAGAUGAUUGUUUUGAUUGCCAGAUGUGCUUUCAACCACUCACUAGUGGCCAUUGCAGUUCCUUCUUCAUGUUCAAUCACAUUGCUAGAAUACAAUAUUUUGAGUUCUUGUAUGGGUCUGCAACACAUUGCUAGAAUAAAAUAUUUAAUUAGCCAUUGAUGUUCCAUCUUAAGAACACGGGUAUCCGCAUCUUAUGGGAAUAAGUAGUUCAGUUGGGUCUCCACCAUAAGAGUGCGGAAGGGAUACAUUCGGUUGCAGUGACCAGUCUGAAGUUUGUCGCUAUAGGUACUGAAUGUGCCUUUAUUGAUAGUGUACUGUAAGGUUAUAGACUUAUAGUCACACCAAUAUAAAUCAGAAGACAGGGAUGUUGUAAGUGUUAUGAACCUCUAGACUGAGUUUUUGUACCAUGGAAGGUUUGGGUACAUCCUACCAUGGAAACACUAAAUGUAAGCAAAAAAAAUUGUGAGUCGAUAUUUUUCCCCAAUACUAAAUGUCAUAAAAAAAUGUGAGUACAUUAUGCAUGGAAAUACUAAAGCGCCAGCUAAAAAAGUAGGUCUCGCCGGGAUUCGAACCCAGGUCGCCAGAUUCAAAGUCUGGAGUGCUAACCACUACACUACGAAACCAUUUGUUGAGUGCGAUCCACGAUGGUUAUAUAUCUGUCAUUUGGUUGAGUGUGAUCCAUGAUGGUUAUAUAUCUGUCAUUUGGCUUACAGACAAAAUAUUGUUUCUCUACUCGAUGCUUCCUGUUAAAUUUCUUUCUGCCUUUUUGGACUAGUUCCGGUUGCCACUUGGCAGCUAAAUGGAUCAAGGAAUAUCCGAUGAGUGACUUAUUUUGUCUUUUCUUUUCAAUUCAUUUUAGCUAAAUACUUCAUUGCAUGGGUACGUCAUUUUGUCUCGUUGAUUGCUAUAGGAUUUACUAGGUGUUUGAGGUAUGAUAAUUUGGAACAAGUAAUAUAGUCGGUCCAUUCAGUAUGACCUUGAGGGAUAAUUGUUUUGAUUGGCCAGGUGUGCUUUCAACUACUCGUUAGUGGCCAUUGCAGUUCCUUCUUCAUGCUCACUCACAUUGCUAGAAUACAAGAUUUUGAGUGACGGGUCUGCGUCGCAUUGCUAGAAUAGAAUAUUAAUGAGGCACUGAUGUCCCAUAUUAAGAACAAGGGUACGUGCAUCUAGGGAAAUAAGCAGUUCAGUUCAGUCUCCAGCGUAAGUAGUGGGGAAGGGGUACGCUCGGUUGCAACAAUAAUCUGAAGUUGGUGACUAUAGGUACUGAAUUUGCCUUUCUUGAUAAAAGGGCUGCUCAGUGCACGUAACUCCUUGCUUGCGCAGGGUCCAGGGAAUUUGCCUUUCUUGAUAGUGAAAUGUAAAUUUUGGCGAGGCUAUAGUCACACCAAUGUAAAUCAGAAGACAGAGGUAUGUUUGAAGUGUUAUUAGUCAAUAGACUGAGUAUCUGUACAAUGGAUGGUCUGGGUACAUUGUACCAGGGAAAUACUAAAUGCUGGCAAAAAUAGGAGUACAUUCUACCCUGGAAACACUGAAUGUCAGCUAAAAUAUUGUGAGCAAUAUUUUUCUCCAGUACUAAAUGCCAUAAACAUGUGAGUACAUUGUACCAUGGAAAAACUAAAAUGCCAGCUUAAAAUGUAGGUCUCGCCGGGAUUCGAACCCAGGUCGCCAGAUUCAAAGUCUGGAGUGCUAACCACUACACUACGAAACCAUUUGAGUGUGAUCCACUGAUGAUUAUAUAUCUGUCAUUUGGCUUACAGACGAAUUAUUGUUUCUUUACAUGCUUAUUAAAUGUCCUACUGUCUUUUUGGACUUGCUUCUGGUUGCCACUUGGCAGCUAAAUGACGCAAGGAAUGUCCGCUGAAUGACUUAUUUUCUUUUUUCUUUAAAUUUUAUUUUAGCCAAAGGCUCCAUUGCGUGGGUUAUUAGGAUUUACUAGGUGUUUGAGGUACGAUAAUUUGGAAAAAAUGGUAAUGUGGUUGAUCCAUUCAGUAUGACCUUGAAGGAUUAUUGUGUUGAUGGGCCAGCUGUGCUUUCAACCACUCGCUAGUCACACUGUAAGUGGGAUGACCUGCGGGCGUCCCGUGUGACGCCGCAUCUACCCACAUAAUUUAUGUGGGAUUAAGUAGGCUGCACACAUAAUUUAUGCGGGAUUACGUGGGCUUCCGCAUACACACUUACUCCACAACGAUGUGAAUAGCAGUUGCAAGCUAGCCGCAGUACAGAACAGUGUCCAUAGGCUAUAACUUGAGUAGUACAAAGAUGCACCGCCGGUGAGCUCUCCUUUUUUUUUUGGAAAAGGAGGAUUACCCCCGGCCUCUGCAUCAGAACAAUGCAUGCUGGUGAGCUCUCCUGCCUGCUAUGACUUAUACUCUGCCGGUCCUAACUUUCCUCUGACAGACUCCAACUAUCACCAGGACUAUUUAUCCAUGUACUAAUGGUAGAUGACUUAUGCACUAGGAUUUUAACUGAACAAAUAUAUUCUGCAGGAUAACCUGGGAAGCGCUAAUUGAAUAGUGAGGAAUAACAUGGGAAUAGUUACUGUGCAGCUGAGCCUGGGCUCAGAAGUGGAUUACCGGGCAUUGAUGUCCCUUUUUAAGGACUAGGAUAUAUGACUAUAUGCAUCUACUGAAAUAGGUAGUUCAGUUCAAUCUCCACCGUAAGCAGUGGCGAAGGGGUACGUUUGGUUGGAGCUACUAAUCUGAAGUUAGUAACUGUAGGUCCUGAAUGUGCCUUUUUGAAAGUGUACAAUAUUUUGAGUUCUUGCACAAUGGCUCCUUCAGUCUGAAGUUAGUAACUGUAGUUUCCUUCCAGUGCACCGCUCCUAAAUCCUAAUGUCUGAUAUAGGUACUUUGGUAUUUCAGACCAUGUACGAGAAUCUCCGUCAGGUGGUGGCUCCUUCAGUCUGAAACCAUGUACGAGAAUCUCCGUCAGGUGGUAGGCCUAACGUCAAGGAUACCUGAGUAACUUUCUAGAAGUCUUCUGCACGAAGGUACAGGCUUCCAAGCACAAGUUCCAGAUAUACAUACAAGAGGGAGUGAGAGCUCCACCAGCCAACCGUGUUGGGGAGGUAGAAGAUGAACCAGCUGGUGCUCGCCAUGCAAAAGUGGAAGAUGACCCGGAUACUGAUGUUGAUCUUAUGAAGAUCUCAUUCUCACGUCGACAUGAUUAUGAAGACAUUGAUAUUGAAACGGGGGGCAGUGGCAGCGAUGAGAUGGAAGGGACAGCCUUCGUUUCUAGACAUACAGCGAAUACAGAUGGACAGGUUCCGGCAGUUAAGAGAAGUGGUAUGACACUAGAGCCGGGGCCGAAGACUCUACUAUGACACUAGAGUGAGGGCCGAAGAACUGCGAAAUUGCAUAUCUCAUUGUUAGACGUAACAACAAGUGUGUCAGCUUUAAAACACGCACUGCCAUCUCGUAGAGAAGCUCUCAGUAGUCAGUGUGUGAUCAGAUAGAUGCCGAUGAUAGUUUAUGUGGAUAGCUAAGCUGAUGAGCUGAUUAAUUCAGACCAAAUCUGGAGAGGCAUGAACAAUGCCUUUCAUGCUUCUUGAACUGGACUGCUUCCAUCAGUGAUUUCCACCAUUUUGUGUCUGCAGUUUCUUUCUUAAUGAAUUGGUGCGGCAUCCUACCUCGUCUUGAUUUUCUUGGGUGCUAUUUGUUUCGGAUAGAUGCUAGCGAUAUGGAUACCUAAGCUGAUGACUGAUUUGUUCAGGCUAAAUCUGGAGAGGCAGGAACUGAAUGCUGCUUUCAUGAACGUUUUCCGCCAAUUUGUUCAUGGGUGUCUCAUUUGGGUUUCUUUUUGCUAGUCUUAUGAUGAUGUUGGUAUGAUUCUUUUUGUAACUCGAUGAUGUGGAAUACUUAUGAUGCGACCUGUAA